rnacentral:rRNA from 1 species
UACGUAGGGUGCAAGCGUUGUCCGGAAUUAUUGGGCGUAAAGAGCUCGUAGGCGGUUUGUCGCGUCUGCUGUGAAAACUCGGGGCUUAACUCCGGGCCUGCAGUGGGUACGGGCAGACUAGAGUGCGGUAGGGGAGACUGGAAUUCCUGGUGUAGCGGUGAAAUGCGCAGAUAUCAGGAGGAACACCGGUGGCGAAGGCGGGUCUCUGGGCCGUAACUGACGCUGAGGCACGAAGGCCAGGGGAGCAAACGGG